rnacentral:tRNA from 1 species
GCGGAUGUGGCUCAGUGGUAGAGCAUCUCCUUGCCAAGGAGAGGGUCGUGAGUUCGAAUCUCAUCAUCCGCU